UUACCCUUCGGGCUCCUAGAACUUGGUAAACGACCUCGCGGGCACUGCCUUACACGAUGCAAGGUCAACGGUAACAGGAGCUUGCUCCGCUGACGAGUGGCGAACGGGUGAGUAAUAUAUCGGAACGUGCCUGGAUGGGGGAGUAACUAAUCGAAAGAUUAGCUAAUACCGCAUACGAUCUAAGGAUGAAAUGGGGGAUCGCAAGACCUCAUUGCUCGUGGAGCGGCCGAUAUCUGAUUAGCUAGUUGGUGGGUAAAAGCCUACCAAGGCAUCGAUCAGUAGCUGGUCUGAGAGGACGACCAGCCACACUGGGACUGAGACACGGCCCAGACUCCUACGGGAGGCAGCAGUGGGGAAUUUUGGACAAUGGGCGCAAGCCUGAUCCAGCAAUGCCGCGUGAGUGAAGAAGGCCUUCGGGUUGUAAAGCUCUUUUGUCAGGGAAGAAACGGGCGAGGUUAAUACCUUUGCCUAAUGACGGUACCUGAAGAAUAAGCACCGGCUAACUACGUG
rnacentral:rRNA from 1 species